UUUCCAGUCCAGGGCCGCUGAGAGUGGGGGUGGCUGGGAGCAGCGCAGCCUCCGGAGGAGGAGGCGGAGGCCGAGGACCAGGAAUCACCUUCAAGCCUAUGUCGUGAGGCUUUGGCAGAAAUUAAGAAGGAAAUAUCUCCAUUGUUCAUUGGCAUGGAAAAAUGUUCAGUGGGAGGAUUAGAGUUGACUGAACAGACUCCUGCUUUAUUAGGGAAUAUGGCCAUGGCAACUAGUCUCAUGGACAUAGGGGAUUCAUUUGGUCAUCCAGCUUGUCCUUUAGUCAGUAGAUCUAGGAACUCACCAGUGGAAGAUGAUGAUGAUGAUGAUGAUGUUGUGUUUAUUGAAUCUAUACAACCUCCUUCAAUUUCUGCUCCAGCAAUAGCUGAUCAAAGAAACUUCAUAUUUGCAUCAUCAAAAAAUGAAAAGCCUCAAGGAAAUUAUUCUGUAAUUCCUCCUUCUUCAAGAGAUUUGGCAUCUCAGAAAGGAAAUAUAAGUGAGACAAUUGUUAUUGAUGAUGAAGAGGACAUAGAAACAAAUGGAGGAGCAGAGAAAAAGUCUUCCUGUUUUAUCGAAUGGGGACUUCCUGGAACUAAAAACAAAACCAACGAUUUGGAUUUCUCCACUUCCAGUCUUUCAAGAAGUAAGGUAAAUGCAGGAAUGGGUAAUAGUGGUAUCACUACAGAAUUGACUCUGAAAUACAUUAUUACUAAUGUUACAACCUUAGAAACAGGUAUAAGCUCUGUGAAUGCUGGGCAAGAUGUGAACAUAAUUAUUACAUAUAAAACAUCACUAUAGAAUACCAACUUGGGAGAUGUCGCUAAAGGACUUCAGUCAAGUAAUUUUGGUGUUAAUAUACAAACGUACACCCCAUCUUUAACUCCACAGACCAAGACUGGAGUAAGACCUUUUAACCCUGGUAGAAUGAAUGUGGCAGGAGACUUAUUUCAGAAUGGAGAAUUUGCAACUCAUCAUAGUCCUGAGAUGCAUCUACAAAGAAGGCUAAUGUCAUUCUUCCAGUAGAAUCAAGCAAAUCCUUCCAAGAAUUUUAUAGUACAUCUUGUUUGUCUCCCUGUGAAAACAACUGGAAUCUUAAAAAAGGAGUUUUUAAUAAGUCAAGAUGUACAAUUUGUAGUAAAUUAGCAGAGGUCUGGAUUUUUAUACCUAAGUUGUUGUUUAGGCUAACAGUGAUAAUUUUAACUUUUAAGUGCUAUUAUGUACUCUUUCAUCUACAUAAUGCACGUGUUCUGGAUGUAUAACAUGAAGCUGAAAGGAAGAAUAAGGAUAUGUUAGAACUAUCUUAUGGGAUAUUUUAUAAAUAAAAUUCCAUUUGCAUAGC
rnacentral:lncRNA from 1 species